GACAAGGGGAAUCAGAUUGUUUAAUUAAAACAAAUCAUUGAGAUGGUCCCUGCAGUUGUUGACGCAAUGUGAUUUAUACCCAGUCCUCUCCAUGUGAAAGUGAAUAAAUUCAACCAAGCACGGGUAAAUGACAGGAGUAACUGUGACUCUCUUAAGGUAGGCAGAUGCCUCGUCAUCUAAUUAGUGACAUGCGUGAAUGGAUUAACAAGAUUCCC
rnacentral:ncRNA from 1 species